AUGCUUUCAGGGGGAAAAGGAAAAAACUCGCUUCUGAGCAGCGCCCUGAGUUGCUUUGUUAACUGCUAGCGCUUCCCCACAACCCUGAGAUUUGGAAGGAUGCUGUGUUGGGAAUCGCUGAUCUGAAACAGUGUGCUUCCCUCUGUGCCUCCCUAGUAUGUGCCUCUUCCUAGAGACUGAUGCCUGGGAAGAUGAGCAGUCUGGGAACGGAGUCACUUGAGGACCUAUGGGAGACUGGACCUGCUUAGCCAACUCUGUGAGAUACUCGAGACCCCCAUGAGUCACUAAAUGUCCCACUGCAGUGGUACCAAAGAUUUAUCUCUUCCUUCUUGAAUUUUCA
rnacentral:lncRNA from 1 species